UACGUAGGGCGCGAGCGUUGUCCGGAAUUAUUGGGCGUAAAGAGCUCGUAGGCGGUUUGUCGCGUCGGUUGUGAAAACCCAAGGCUCAACCUUGGGCCUGCAAUCGAUACGGGCAGACUAGAGUACUGCAGGGGAGACUGGAAUUCCUGGUGUAGCGGUGGAAUGCGCAGAUAUCAGGAGGAACACCGGUGGCGAAGGCGGGUCUCUGGACAGUUCCUGACACUGAGGCACGGAAGGCCCAGGGGAGCAAACGGG
rnacentral:rRNA from 1 species